rnacentral:rRNA from 1 species
GACGAACGCUGGCGGCGUGCUUAACACAUGCAAGUCGAACGGAAAGGCCCUGCUUUUGUGGGGUGCUCGAGUGGCGAACGGGUGAGUAACACGUGAGUAACCUGCCCUUGACUUUGGGAUAACUUCAGGAAACUGGGGCUAAUACCGGAUAGGAGCUCCUGCUGCAUGGUGGGGGUUGGAAAGUUUCGGCGGUUGGGGAUGGACUCGCGGCUUAUCAGCUUGUUGGUGGGGUAGUGGCUUACCAAGGCUUUGACGGGUAGCCGGCCUGAGAGGGUGACCGGCCACAUUGGGACUGAGAUACGGCCCAGACUCAUACGGGAGGCAGCAGUGGGGAAUAUUGCACAAUGAGCGGAAGCCUGAUGCAGCAACGCCGCGUGCGGGAUGACGGCCUUCGGGUUGUAAACCGCUUUCGCCUGUGACGAAGCGUGAGUGACGGUAAUGAGUAAAGAAGCACCGGCUAACUACGUG